rnacentral:rRNA from 1 species
UACGGGGGGUGCAAGCGUUGUUCGGAAUUAUUGGGCGUAAAGAGCGUGUAGGCGGCGUGAUAAGUCAGAUGUGAAAGCCCUGGGCUUAACCCAGGAAGUGCAUUUGAAACUGUCUUGCUUGAGUACGGGAGAGGGAAGAGGAAUUCCUGGUGUAGAGGUGAAAUUCGUAGAUAUCAGGAGGAACACCGGUGGCGAAGGCGACUUCCUGGCCCGAUACUGACGCUGAGACGCGAGAGCGUGGGGAGCAAACAGGAUUAGAAACCCUUGGUAGUCC